rnacentral:rRNA from 1 species
GUCCGCACCGUAAACGAUGGACACUUGGUGUUGGAGGUAUUGACCCCUUCAGUGCCGAAGCUAACGCGUUAAGUGUCCCGCCUGGGAAGUACGGUCGCAAGAUUAAAACUCAAAGAAAUUGACGGGGCCCGCACAAGCGGUGGAGCAUGUGGUUUAAUUCGAUGCAACGCGAAAACCUUACCUGGGCUCGAAAUGUUAUGGAAUAAGGUAGAGAUAUCUUAGUUCUUCGGAACUGUAAUAUAGGUGCUGCAUGGCUGUCGU